rnacentral:misc_RNA from 1 species
AAGUCGUAACAAGGUAACCGUAGGUGAACCUGCGGUUGGAUCAUUAAUGAAUAAACGGGGGUUCAACUAACCUUUUGGCUAGUUGGCUUCUAAACAUUAUGUGAAUCGUGACUGUCUCUGGUGGGUGAAUGCAAGUCAAAAUUUGACAAUAGUCGAAUACUUUUGGCUUGGACUAGCCCACACUUGAACCUAGUAUUUUACUGUAGCCUUUAACUAAAAAAGUUUAAUUUAAAAACAACUUUUGGCAACGGAUCUCUAGGCUCUC